ensembl:lncRNA
CAGGCAAUAGGCAUAGAAACUGUCCGCUGCAGGUAAACAAGAGAACCGCAGACAAUGGACACACUUCUGGUUAUAAUACAGCGCGACUUUAUAUGUUUUCAUGUUGCCUUUACAUUAUGUCAAUUCAUCAGUUGGUUACAGUAACAGUUUAUGUUAUUCAGUCCAGGUAUGUUACUAUGUUAUGCUCAGCUGCUGUUAUAGUACAUGCUGUAUAUUGUAACUUUGAAUCUCCCACUCCCCACAGGAUAUAAUAUUCUCUGUUACCAUUUGUAUAGCAAGGCAGAGAGCAUUUACAGGUAUAUUGAUCCUUUAUCAACAAACGACAUUAUAUUAGUCUCAGACGUAUUGCUGAACUGGCUGUAAUACCUUAUCUGUUGAUCAUGUUGCUGAUGUCACUAUUAGAAGGAUAACAUGGUGACUAUUGAGUGUGAGGAACUGUUUUCAGGAAGUGUUUUCAGGAAGUGGGUUGGUACAUUAUCUUCAUGUCGUGAACAUCGUGUUCUUAAUGCAGAUAAACUAAUUAGUUGGUUUUGUGUUUGGAGGAUGCAGGGACACGUUUAGCAUUGUUCUGUGGUUUAAAAAUAAUUAUUUUCACAUACACCGGAUUAGGUGCAGUGAAAUGUGUUGUUUUACAGGGUCAGUCAUAGUAGUAUGAUAGGUGUUGUUCUACAGGGUCAGUCAUAGUAGUCUGAUAGGUGUUGUUCUACAGGGUCAGUCAUAGUAGUCUGAUAGGUGCAGUGAAAUGUGUUGUUUUACAGGGUCAGUCAUAGUAGUAUGAUAGGUGUUGUUCUACAGGGUCAGUCAUAGUAGUCUGAUAGGUGCAGUGAAAUGUGUUGUUUUACAGGGUCAGUCAUAGUAGUAUGAUAGGUGUUGUUUUACAGGGUCAAUCAUAGUAGUAUGAUAGGUGUUGUUUUACAGGGUCAAUCAUAGUAGUAUGAUAGGUGUUGUUUUACAGGGUCAGUCAUAGUAGUAUGAUAGGUGUUGUUUUACAGGGUCAGCCAUAGUACAGCACCCCUGAUGCAAAUUAGGGUUAAGUGCCUUGCUCAAGGGCACAGCGACAGAUUUUGCACCUUGUUGGCUCGGGUAUUUGAACCAGCAACCUCUUGGUUACUGUACCAACGCUCUAACCGCUAAGCUACAUGCCAUGUUGCAUAGUAUUACUAAACCGUUAUUUUGACAGGGAAGUCAUGCUGAGACUAGGGCCUCUUUUUCAGAUGAGCCCUGCAUAAAUACAUCAAACAUAUAUACAACAUACAAAAUAUAUUAAGAAAAUGUAUCAACAUAGAGGUCUCUGAUCAUGACUCUGAACUGACCAAUGGGGGACCAGAACUACUAAUUUCAGAGAGCUCUGAGAGAGUUGUUCCACAUAAAGGGCCAAGAAAAAAUAAAAAAUAAACAUCUUUACCCAACUCUGUGGAGACCGAAGGGGCCUCCAGUGUUAUCCAAGCCUGUAACCGGGUUUGGUCAUUUGUAAGUCAAAAAUGUAAUUAAUGACGAUAGAUACAUAGGUUUCUGCAUGAGUGCUUU